rnacentral:rRNA from 1 species
GAUGAACGCUUGCGGCGUGCCUAAUACAUGCAAGUCGAGCGAACGGACGAGAAGCUUGCUUCUCUGAUGUUAGCGGCGGACGGGUGAGUAACACGUGGAUAACCUACCUAUAAGACUGGGAUAACUUCGGGAAACCGGAGCUAAUACCGGAUGAUAUUUUGAACCGCAUGGUUCAAAAGUGAAAGACGGUCUUGCUGUCACUUAUAGAUGGAUCCGCGCUGCAUUAGCUAGUUGGUAAGGUAACGGCUUACCAAGGCAACGAUGCAUAGCCGACCUGAGAGGGUGAUCGGCCACACUUGAACUGGGACCCGGUCCAGAACCCUACGGGAGGGAGCAGGAGGGAACCUUCCGCAAUGGGCGAAAGCCUGACGGAGCAACGCCGCGUGAGUGAUGAAGGUCUUCGGAUCGUAAAACUCUGUUAUUAGGGAAGAACAUAUGUGUAAGUAACUGUGCACAUCUUGACGGUACCUAAUCAGAAAGCCACGGCUAACUACGUG